GAUCUGGGUUAGAUUUGCUGAACUUAUCUUGGUAAAAGAUAUAAUCAUAAUUAAAUCAGAACCACAUCUUUUUUCAUUGUCGAUGUCUUUUUCUUCAUCUUCUUUCUCUAUUAUUUUUCUCUAAUGAAUCUAAACAAAAUUGAAGAAGAUCACGAGUUCCAAAUCAAUCCAUCAUUUAUUAGUUCAUCUGGUCCUUUUUCCAUGAGUACAUGAGGUGGUGGCUGCGGCGGACAGGAGAAGGGUCAAUGCGUCUGUUUUUGACGAGGAAAGUGGAAGAAAAACGUGAUUGACGAAUGGCAGCCUCGGACCAAAAACAUUGGAAACAACUCAACUGUAUAGGGAAAAGAGAAGUCAUAUGAAGGGAAUGGGACCAAUGGUGAAUGUGGAGAUUUUAAAUCCAAGAGUUGACUUAGCUUUUCUAUUGUGAUAUAGAUGCAUAUAGUUAUUUAAGCAAGAAUGUGUUUUGGGUAUGGUCUUUGGUUACGGAAAAGUUUAACAUGGUUAAGAUUAUUUUUGGUUUGAUGAUCUUUCUUGUAACCGAGUAAUUAUAUACAAAACCGGGUAUAAAAUAUUAGCAUUGUUUGUUUUUCUGUUGGCUUGUUAAACUUGAGUGUAACCAAUAAUGUAAUAAAUUAUCGUGUAAUGAUUUUUUAUUUAUUUUUGAGUUGUUGCC